UACGAAGGGGGCUAGCGUUGCUCGGAAUCACUGGGCGUAAAGCGCACGUAGGCGGUUUGUUAAGUCGGGGGUGAAAUCCUGGAGCUCAACUCCAGAACUGCCUUUGAUACUGGCGACCUUGAGUCCGGGAGAGGUGAGUGGAACUGCGAGUGUAGAGGUGAAAUUCGUAGAUAUUCGCAAGAACACCAGUGGCGAAGGCGGCUCACUGGCCCGGUACUGACGCUGAGGUGCGAAAGCGUGGGGAGCGAACAGG
rnacentral:rRNA from 1 species